rnacentral:rRNA from 1 species
UACGUAGGGUGCGAGCGUUAAUCGGAAUUACUGGGCGUAAAGCGUGCGCAGGCGGCUUUGCAAGACAGAUGUGAAAUCCCCGGGCUCAACCUGGGAACUGCAUUUGUGACUGCAAGGCUAGAGUACGGCAGAGGGGGAUGGAAUUCCGCGUGUAGCAGUGAAAUGCGUAGAUAUGCGGAGGAACACCGAUGGCGAAGGCAAUCCCCUGGGCCUGUACUGAAGCUCAUGCACGAAAGCGUGGGGAGCAAACAGG